ACCCCCCUCCCCCAUUUUCUCCCCCACUGUCCCCAGCUUGCCCUCCCUCACCUGCGGCAGAGCCAGGGUAACAUCAUCAACAUCUCCAGCUUGGUUGGGGCCAUUGGUCAGUCUCAGGCAGUUCCUUAUGUGGCCACCAAGGGAGCUGUAACCGCCAUGACCAAAGCCUUGGCCUUGGAUGAGAGCCAAUAUGGCGUCCGUGUCAACUGUAUUUCUCCAGGAAACAUCUGGACCCCACUUUGGGAGGAGCUGGCAGCAUCAACCCCAGACCCUGGGGCAACAAUCCGAGAGGGCACCAUGGCCCAAGUAGGAGUGUGGGCCAGGGCUGGGUAGAGUGGAGCAAGGUUUGGGGGUGUUAUGGUCAAGCUGGGGCUCUCCUUCCUUCCUUUCUUUCUUUCUUUCUUUCUUUCUUUC